rnacentral:rRNA from 1 species
AUGGGCGGCGAGGAGCGGCAUACCUCCAGCUGGGUGGUGGACAUGGAGAAGAUGCUGGCAGACGACGAUCCUUACUCCAGGAGGAUGGAGGAAAAGCGAUGGGAGGCGCAAUCCAUCUACCGGGUACCACAGUGGCUCAAGGGCACCAACACCAAAGCCUACCGGCCGCGGCUAGUGUCUUUGGGGCCCUUCCACCACGGCGACUCCAAUCUGCGGGCCAUGGAGGAGCACAAGGGACGCGCGUUAGUGCACCUGAUUAAGCGGAGCCAGAAGCCGCUCCAGGAUUUCAUCUCUGCCAUCGGCGACGUGGCAGAGGAGCUCGAGGCAGCAUACGGCAAGGAUCUCCAUAUGAAGUGGCGGAACAACAGACGGAGCUUUGUCGACCUGAUGCUCACGGACGGCUGCUUCCUUCUGGAGAUUAUUAGUGCACCUUUCCAGGAUUACAAGCUGCAUGAUCCCGUCUUCAGCAGGAGUGGCAGAGAACAAAUAGACCCCAUUCUCCGGUCUGACAUGCUACUGAUUGAGAACCAGCUGCCUCUGCUUGUUCUCAAGAAGAUCCUGGGUGUUGUGCGUCCUAAUAACAGUCCGGGGGUUGCAAUGGAUAUAGAUAUAAACCUCAUGGUGCUGAGUUUUCUAGGCCGGGCAGAUGAAGGCCGUGACAUUUCCAGCGUGUUUCUGAGGCUCCACCCCCUCGAACUUUAUCAUGGAAGCCUCACCUACAAUUACGGCGCGCAUGGAGAUUACAAAAAAUCGCGGGAGUACAAGAAGAGCGAGAGGGGCAACCUGCGGGACAUUCACUUCGAGCACGGAGUGUUGACUAUGCCAGUGAUGAGGGUGGACGACGGUACAGAGAGCCUGUACCUCAACCUGAUGGCGUUCGAGAGGCUGCAUGUCGGCGCUGGCGACCUCGUGACGGGCUAUGUGAUCUGCAUGGACCACAUGAUCGUCUCGGCCAAGGACGUGGCGACGUUGAGCUCCAGUGGAGUCCUCGUGAAUAUGAUAGGCUGCAACGAGAAGACGGCGAAGCUGUUCAACGGUACUCUGUCCAGAGGGCAACUUCUAGGCCGGUGCUAUGGUCUCCACAAAGUUCAGUACAACGUGAAUUUCUACUGUGGGAAGCCGUGGCACAAGUGGCGGGCCACCCUAGUGCGUACCCACUUCAGAAACCCCUGGGCAUUCGUCUCCCUCGCAGCCGCUGCCAUUCUACUCACCGCCACCCUGGUGCAGACCAUCUACACCGCCAUGCCUAACAAGUCAUGA